rnacentral:rRNA from 1 species
UACGAAGGGGGCUAGCGUUGUUCGGAAUUACUGGGCGUAAAGCGCGCGCAGGCGGCUAUCCAAGUCAGUGGUGAAAGCCCGGAGCCCAACUCCGGAACUGCCAUUGAAACUGUUUAGCUUGAGGAUGAGAGAGGUGAGUGGAAUUCCCAGUGUAGAGGUGAAAUUCGUAGAUAUCGGGAGGAACACCAGUGGCGAAGGCGGCGAUCUGGGAAGAUACUGACGCUGAGGUGCGAAAGCGUGGGGAGCAAACAGG